UACGAAGGGGGCUAGCGUUGUUCGGAUUUACUGGGCGUAAAGCGCACGUAGGCGGAUCGUUAAGUCGGGGGUGAAAUCCUGGAGCUCAACUCCAGAACUGCCUUCGAUACUGGCGAUCUCGAGUCCGGAAGAGGUGAGUGGAACUCCUAGUGUAGAGGUGGAAUUCGUAGAUAUUAGGAAGAACACCGGUGGCGAAGGCGGCCAUCUGGCUCGGUACUGACGCUCAGGCGCGAAAGCGUGGGGAGCAAACAGG
rnacentral:rRNA from 1 species